rnacentral:rRNA from 1 species
AUUGAACGCUGACGGCAGGCCUAACACAUGCAAGUCGAACGAGUGGCGGACGGGUGAGUAAUGCCUGGGAAACUUCCCGAUGGCGGGGGAUAACUACUGGAAACGGUAGCUAAUACCGCAUUCCCUCGGAUGUGCCCAGAUCGGAUUGGCUAGUAGGUGGGGUAACGGCUAACCUAGGCAACGAUCCCUAGCUGGUCUGAGAGGAUGACAAGCCACACUGGAACAGAGACACGGUGCAGACUCCUACGGGAGGCAGCAGGGGGGAAUAUGGCACAAUGGGCGCAAGCCUGAUGCAGCCAUGCCGCGUGUAUGAAGAAGGCCUUCGGGUUGUAAAGUACUUUCAGCGAGGAGGCGGUACUCGCAGAAGAAGCACCGGCUAACUCCGUGCCAGCAGCCGCGGUAAUAC